CUUCGAUGUGUCACUGUGACUGUUGCAAAUGGACCAAUAACAACCACAACAACUACCACCAGUAACGUUUACUUUGACAUUGACAGUAUACCAACUACUCCAACUACUACCACUACUACAACUACUCCAACUACAACAACUACUACCAGUACUACAACUACUACAACUACAACAGCUACUACCAGUACUACAACUACUACAACUACUCCAACUACUACCAGUACUACAACUACUCCAACUACAACAACUACUACCAGUACUCCAACUACUCCAACUACUACUAGUACUACAACUACUCCAACUACUACCAGUACUACCAGUACUACAACUACUCCAACUACAACAACUACCACCAGUACUCCAAUUACUACACCUACAUCAACUACACCCAGUGAACCAUCUGAUGUUACAGUUCUCAAAUUGAAGAUGACCUCUUUGGUGGACUUGUCUAAAAUUGAUAGAGAUACAUUCC
ensembl:lncRNA